GCUUGGAGUGUCAGCUUAAGAUGUUAGCCUGGGGUAAGUGGUUGCAUGGUUGUCACUGGCAGGAGAAACUGUACUGUGCUUCAUGAAGCCUGAGGAUGGAGAUUCAGAGGUUCUUCACUGUGGUGAUUUUCCUGGGGAAGGCUCAUGACAAGUGACCAGGUGACAAGGUUAUCAUAUUUCAAGUACGCUAUUAUGAUUUAAAAGUCCUAAAUUCGCACCCUUAGGGCCUGAACACUUCCCCCUACAAUGAUGAUGUUCAAAGACUCCUGAGAUCUACACAACCCAUAUGACCUGGAGGCAAAUGAAAUGGGAAGUAAUCUUACAGAUGGUAUAUACACCCCCAGAUGAGGGAGAGAGCAAAUUUCUUGGAAAGCUGUGUAAAUAGAUUCUUUCCACAAACUGAAUAAAGCAUAAAAGGAAUUCAUAA